AUGUCCAAGUACGGCACCAUCCCCACCUCCUCCUCCUCCGCCGCCGCGGGGGCGCCCCACCUCGGCGGCGCCUCCCCGCUCGACUUCAUCUCCCGCGCCAAGGCCCGCGGCGCGACGGCGCUGGCCACGCGCCGGCCGUGGCGCGAGCUCGCGGACGUGCACGCCAUCGGGCUGCCCCCGAGCCUCGGCGACGCCUACCUGCGCGUGCGCGCCAACCUCGCCCACUUCGCCAUGAACUACGCCAUCGUCGUCCUCGUCGUCGUCUUCCUCUCCCUCCUCUGGCAGCCCAUCUCCCUCAUCGUCUUCCUCGUCUGCAUGGUCGGCUGGCUCGUCCUCUACUUCCUCCACGACGAGCCCAUCGUCCUCUUCGGCCGCGUCGUCGGCGACGGCGUGGUCCUCGCCGUGCUCGCUGCUGUCACGCUCAUCCUCCUGCUGCUCACCGGCGCCACCACCAACAUCCUCACGUCGCUGCUCAUCGGCUUCGUGCUCGUCGUGGUGCACGCCGCCCUGCACAAGGCGGAGGACAACGUUGACGAAGAGGUCGGCCGCUGGUACGCGCCUGUGCCAGCGCAGUAG
rnacentral:rRNA from 1 species